GCAGUAUUAUACACUGAAUCAUUAGUAUUAUUAUGUUCUGAUUACAGUAAUAGUGACUAUUCUAGUAAUCGUUCUAAAAUCUUCCUAUUUUUGACUUACUUUUUCAUUUUUCAUGUGUCUUCGCUUGGAAUGAUUAAAAAAUAUUAUUAAAAGAUACGGGUAAUAAUCCUUAAAAUAAAACUCAUUAUGCAUCUGAGUGUGUCUUCACUAAGCAAAACAAAAUAAAAUGGCGUGUGGUUUUGCAAAAGGAUCCGAAAACUUCCUUUCCUUCAAAAUUAUAAGCUUAAAUAUCUGAACACCGCCAAUGGCCUGCAAUCUUAAGGCAGAUGGCCCGGAAGCUUCAAAAGCAGUGAGGCGAAAAUUUGCGGUUACGUAGCAAAUUCCGAUUGAAGCAAACAUCGGAAUCCAGCUAGCAAACAGCAUUUCAGAUCCUGUACUGGAAAUACGGCACCGAUGCUUGCUGCGUUUGCCUGCCGGAACCCCAACCCAAAAAUUAGCAACUGUCGGCUGCUGCUGGUUUCUCGAGGGCACUUGGCAGACAUCUUCAGGUGAGACAUGGUGGCUCGAUUGGCUUGUCCUCCACCGUGAUGCAUCUGAGAAUUUGCUUCGAAUAUCCCCAAGCUUGGUGCACGCUGUCCGCCGCAGUCCUUAACGUUACAAAUCCGUCAUCAAGGAUGAGCAGGGAAUUGUGAUGAACGCCACAACAGUGGCUGACUGUUCUGUAGCAGUAUAACCAUCAUGGGUGUUCCCGAAGGAAAACUAAAGCCAGUAAAAAAGCAGCUCCCGGCACACUCGACUAGCUCUAGGUGUUGCAGCUGCAACCGACCAGGAUGUAGUCGGAGAAAAUCGAACUGGAAGCACAAGCAUCAGUUUGAGAAUGGGCCUUUUGUCUUUGCUGGCUGAUGUCCUCGCAGAUUGCACUGGAAAAUCUGCUUACAACAGUGACAACGAUGAUUCAUCCUCCAGGUAAUCGGAUCGGCACGAUGAAUUCAGAACCGUACUCCCACGACUUAAACCUCGUUGCAUAGAGCCGGCAAUAACGACACCUCCAGAUCCGAUUCUGGUGGUCUGAUGAUUGUUCUCGAGUACCAAGAUUUUCUGGGUAUCACCAUAUAUUGGUUAAAUAUUCUGAAAACGAAAACUGGUUCUGCAUAAAUAUUGCGAAAUAUUCCAGCUUCAAUCAACUACAGUUCCAUUUUUGUUAGGCCACUAUUUACCAGAAACGUCCCUCAUAGCCGGACCAUUCGGAUUUCGUUAAAUUGCACUCUACCAUGCUGUUUUUUUCUUCGAACAUCUCAUCGAAACUAAACGGGUUGAAAUUAGCACCGAUUGAACAAAAGGGCCGCAUUGUUAUGAAAGAUUUACUACAAGCGAUCCGGAAAUUCAUUUAGUUCCUGAUUGACUGACCCACACUAACGAACCCUCUGAUAUGCGACCAAGGACAGGAUCAAUGUAUACAUUAGGGAAAUGUUGAAAGUGAAGUGAGUAAAACUAUUUCGAAUAUUGUGUCGAUAUCAAUAUAUGAAUGUAUAUUUAAAAUAAUUAUCAAUCAACUCAUUUUUGAACAUAAUAAAAUCUAUGGAAAACUA